GUUGACCUCGAAUCAGGUAGGGAUACCCGCUGAACUUAAGCAUAUCAAUAAGC
rnacentral:rRNA from 1 species